GUAGGUGGCAAGCGUUGUCCGGAAUUAUUGGGGCGUAAAGCGCGCGCAGGUGGGUUCUUUAAGUCUGAUGUGAAAGCCCCCGGGCUCAACCGGGGAGGGUCAUUGGAAACUGGGGAACUUGAGUGCAGGAGAGGAAAGUGGAAUUCCACGUGUAGCGGUGAAAUGCGUAGAUAUGUGGAGGAACACCAGUGGCGAAGGCGACUUUCUGGCCUGUAACUGACACUGAGGCGCGAAAGCGUGGGGAGCAAACAGGAUUAGAUACCCUGGUAGUCCACGCCGUAAACGAUGAGUGCUAAGUGUUGGGGGGGUUUCCGCCCCUCAGUGCUGCAGCUAACGCAUUAAGCACUCCGCCUGGGGAGUACGGUCGCAAAGACUG
rnacentral:rRNA from 1 species